rnacentral:rRNA from 1 species
AUUGAACGCUGGCGGCAGGCCUAACACAUGCAAGUCGAACGAGUGGCGGACGGGUGAGUAAUGUCUGGGAAACUGCCUGAUGGAGGGGGAUAACUACUGGAAACGGUAGCUAAUACCGCAUACCAUCAGAUGUGCCCAGCUGGGAUUAGCUAGUUGGUGGGGUAACGGCUCACCAAGGCGACGUUCCCUAGCUGGUCUGAGAGGAUGACCAGCCUCACUGGAACUGCGACACGGUCCAGAGUCCAAAGGAAGGCAGCAGUGGGGAAUAUUGCAAAGUAGGAGAAAGCCUGAUACAGCCAUGCCGGGUGUAUGAAGAAGGCCUUCAGGUUGUAAAGUACUUUCAGCGGGGAGGCGUUACCCGCAGAAGAAGCACCGGCUAACUCCGUGCCAGCCGCCGCGGUAAUAC